rnacentral:rRNA from 1 species
CGGGUGAGUAACGCGUGGGAAAUUGCCCAGUAGUGGGGGACAACAUUCGGAAACGGAUGCUAAUACCGCAUACGCCCUACGGGGGAAAGCAGGGGAUCUUCGGACCUUGCGCUAUUGGAUAUGCCCGCGUCGGAUUAGCUAGUUGGUGAGGUAAUGGCUCACCAAGGCAACGAUCCGUAGCUGGUCUGAGAGGAUGAUCAGCCACACUGGGACUGAGACACGGCCCAGACUCCUACGGGAGGCAGCAGUGGGGAAUAUUGGACAAUGGGCGCAAGCCUGAUCCAGCCAUGCCGCGUGUGUGAAGAAGGCCCUAGGGUUGUAAAGCACUUUCAGUAGGGAGGAAGGCCUUAAAGUUAAUACCUUUGAGGAUUGACGUUACCUACAGAAGAAGCACCGGCUAACUCCGUGCCAGCAGCCGCGGUAAUACGGAGGGUGCGAGCGUUAAUCGGAAUUACUGGGCGUAAAGCGCGCGUAGGCGGUUAGUUAAGCUGGAUGUGAAAGCCCCGGGCUCAACCUGGGAACUGCAUUCAGAACUGGCUGGCUAGAGUACGAGAGAGGGUAGUGGAAUUUCCUGUGUAGCGGUGAAAUGCGUAGAUAUAGGAAGGAACAUCAGUGGCGAAGGCGACUGCCUGGCUCGAUACUGACGCUGAGGUGCGAAAGCGUGGGGACUAAACAGGAUUAGAUACCCUGCUAGUCCACGCCGUAAACGAUGUCUACUAGUCGUAGGGUUCCUUGAGGACUUUGUGACGCAGCUAACGCAAUAAGUAGACCGCCUGGGGAGUACGGCCGCAAGGUUAAAACUCAAAUGAAGUGACGGGGGCCCGCACAAGCGGUGGA